GGCGCGGCCGAGGGCGGAGGGCGGCGGGAUGGGGGCCGGGGGCGGCGGGCGCCGCACUCGCUGAGGCCCCGACGCAGGGCCGGGCCGGGCCCAGGGCCGAGGAGCGCAGCGGCCGGAACGGGGCCGCGGAGGUGACGCCGGGGACGCCCGCGCGACGAGCAGGUGGCGGCGGCUGCAGGCUUGUCCAGCCGGAAGCCCUGAGGACAGCUGUUCCCACUGGCUCUGCUAACCUUGUGCCUUGAGCUUGUGCCUUGGUCCCGCCCUGGGUGGCUCCGGCAGGUUCCUCAGCUGUGUGUACCCACCACCCCCACCUUGUCUGCACGUGACUGUGACUGUCUUUAGGAGGCCACACAAUUCAGGAAGCAGAGCGUGCCACCCUGGCCAGACA
rnacentral:lncRNA from 1 species